GAAAAUAUUGGGAAGAGAGUUUCUUGGCAUUGAAUGGUGUAACAGAGACUGCUCUUGGAUUAACUAAUCUCCAAAAGCAUGUGUGCAGUUUUUGUUAAGAGCACCAAUUGAGUACAUCUUACAAUGUUGUCUAUCGAGUGAACUGAAUGAACUCCAGCAAUCAUACAAUCAAAGGUUCACUAUAGACAACCUGCCGUUGUUCCAGUUA